rnacentral:rRNA from 1 species
UACGUAGGGUGCAAGCGUUAAUCGGAAUUACUGGGCGUAAAGCGUGCGCAGGCGGUUUCGUAAGUCUGUCGUGAAAUCCCCGGGCUUAACCUGGGAAUGGCGAUGGAGACUGCGAGGCUAGAGUUUGGCAGAGGGGGGUAGAAUUCCACGUGUAGCAGUGAAAUGCGUAGAGAUGCGGAGGAACACCGAUGGCGAAGGCAGCCCCCUGGGCUGACACUGACGCUCAGGCACGAAAGCGUGGGGAGCAAACAGG